CCUUAUUGGAGAGUUUGAUCCUGGCUCAGGACGAACGCUGGCGGCGUGCCUAAUACAUGCAAGUCGAGCGGAGUAUU
rnacentral:rRNA from 1 species